rnacentral:misc_RNA from 1 species
GAAACGCGAUAGUUAAUGUGAAUUGCAGAAUUCAGUGAAUCAUCGAGUCUUUGAACGCACAUUGCGCCCAUUGGUAUUCCUUUGGGCAUGUCUGUUUGAGCGUCAUUACAACCCUCAGCUAACCGCGGUUUUUGAACCUGAACGGGUGACACCGCAACGGUUUUAAAGUUGUAAGCUCUGCUGGCUGCUCUGCCCAACCAGAACAUAGUAAGCACUACUUGUCCGGGUGAAGCUGAACGGUACGGCCUGAACAAAACCUACCCACUCUCAAGGUUUGACCUCAGAUCAGACAAGGAUACCCGCUGAACUUAAGC